UUCUGAGGAGAGGAAGGUGUCCAGGCAGC
rnacentral:piRNA from 1 species